GGAACAUGGUGUUGCAGUUCAAACCAGUUCCAGCCAAAAUGGACUCUAGUCACAAACAAAUAGUAAUAACAAUCCAAACUUGUGGCUGAAUAGAGUUCUGAAGUUUUGAGAAAGAGAUACCUUUAGUAACCUAGACUCUGCUGGAUCAUAUGGCCCAAGACGCCAGUCUGAUUGCACAGCAGUCGACCUGCUGCAGAUGCUUUCCCACUUUGGGAUCCAGAGAACCUUCCCCUUCUGAGCAGCAAAACCAAAUAAAGCAGUUCUCAGGAUACAAAGACAAGACUGAGGAAGAUCCUAAUAAGGUGUUGCAAGGUGACACAGGACAAACUUUGUCCAAAGGAAAUUGAUCUGACAAGAACUUCUGGACUUGUCAGUUCUUAGGGCUGACUGGUCUAUCCUCUUUCUAUUGACUUUGGCUUACUAGACUCAAGCAGAAAGUGACAAGGGAAGAAAAGGAUACAAACAGAAGCAAGUUUCCAAGAACAAGGUUUACAUCAGGAAGAGCCAAUCAAAGAUCAUAUCUGGAGGACUGCUGCAAAGUUGUGAUAAAUGACCAAAUAGUAUUUUUAUAGAAGGUGGAAUGAAUGACAGACUAAAGAUUUCAGCUGAUUAAAGAAAUUAUGGAGUGCAUCAUUCUCAGUUUAUAUUGAACUGGGGUUCCUGAGAAAUUCCUCCUUAUAAAUUUACAUGGAAAUUAUAAUUUUUACUAGUUGAUUUCAGUUAAUUAGCCUACUGAAUAAUUUGAUUCUUGCACUCACUAAAAGAUCAUAGAGCACAAGAAUACCAUUUACAAAAUACUUUAAAAGUGGGGAUAUAAACACAAAUAAG
rnacentral:lncRNA from 1 species